rnacentral:rRNA from 1 species
ACGGAAGGCAGCAGUGGGGAAUAUUGCACAAUGGGGGAAACCCUGAUGCAGCGACGCCGCGUGAAGGAAGAAGUAUCUCGGUAUGUAAACUUCUAUCAGCAGGGAAGAUAAUGACGGUACCUGACUAAGAAGCCCCGGCUAACUACGUGCCAGCAGCCGCGGUAAUACGUAGGGGGCAAGCGUUAUCCGGAUUUACUGGGUGUAAAGGGAGCGUAGACGGCAUGGCAAGUCUGAUGUGAAAACCCGGGGCUCAACCCCGGGACUGCAUUGGAAACUGUCAGGCUAGAGUGCAGGAGAGGUAAGUGGAAUUCCUAGUGUAGCGGUGAAAUGCGUAGAUAUUAGGAGGAACACCAGUGGCGAAGGCGGCUUACUGGACUGUAACUGACGUUGAGGCUCGAAAGCGUGGGGAGCAAACAGGAUUAGAUACCCUGGUA